ensembl:snoRNA SNORA70 Small nucleolar RNA SNORA70
UUGCAGCCUAUUAAGCCGACCAGCCUCACUGUGGUGUGAGGGUGGUGUGCAAAGGCUGCAGACACAGACUCUCUGGUUGUGUAUGACCUCAGCUGUGAGGUGCUGGGGCCUUUAAGGGACCAUUGAGACAAAA